rnacentral:rRNA from 1 species
GCUGCGGCCGGCGCACAGGUGCUGCAUGGCUGUCGUCAGCUCGUGCUGUGAAGUGUUGGGUUAAGUCCCGCAACGAGCGCAACCCCUGCUGCCUGUUGCCACCACGAGAGGUGGGGACUCAGGCGGGACCGCCGGUGACAAACCGGAGGAAGGUGGGGACGGACGUCAAGUCAUCAUGGCCCUUAUGUCCUGGGCUACACACGUGCUACAAUGGCCGGUACAGAGCGCAGCGAGGCCGCGAGGCGGAGCGAAUCGCUUAAAGCCGGUCCCAGUACGGAUUGGAGUCUGCAACCCGACUCCAUGAAGUUGGAAUCGCUAGUAAUCGCGCAUCAGCAUGGCGCGGUGAAUACGUUCCCGGGCCUU